rnacentral:rRNA from 1 species
AGAGUUUGAUCCUGGCUCAGGAUGAACGCUGGCGGCGUGCUUAACACAUGCAAGUCGAACGAUGAAGCCCAGCUUGCUGGGUGGAUUAGUGGCGAACGGGUGAGUAACACGUGAGUAACCUGCCCUUGACUCUGGGAUAAGCGCUGGAAACGGCGUCUAAUACCGGAUACGAGCUUCCACCGCAUGGUGAGUUGCUGGAAAGAAUUUCGGUCAAGGAUGGACUCGCGGCCUAUCAGGUAGUUGGUGAGGUAACGGCUCACCAAGCCGACGACGGGUAGCCGGCCUGAGAGGGUAACCGGCCACACUGGGACUGAGACACGGCCCAGACUCCUACGGGAGGCAGCAGUGGGGAAUAUUGCACAAUGGGCGCAAGCCUGAUGCAGCAACGCCGCGUGAGGGACGAAGGCCUUCGGGUCGUAAACCUCUUUUAGCAGGGAAGAAGCGAAAGUGACGGUACCUGCAGAAAAAGCACCGGCUAACUACGUG